CCAGUAACAUCAUUUGGAUGGCCCGAUUUAUCAAUGGACGCACCUUCUACCAUUAAAAAGAAACCUUUAUCAUUUUGUUGCAAGCGUUUAACGGCACUAUCAGU
rnacentral:sRNA from 1 species